rnacentral:tRNA from 1 species
GCCUGGGUGGCUAGGUCACUUAAAAGCGUGGGACUCUUGAUCUCAGAGUUGUGAGUUCAAGCCCCGCUUCAGGUU